UGCAGCAAAUAUCCCCAUACGAGAGGAAGAAUCCUUUGCAAGAGGAGCACCCAGGAGAUUUGUGGCACAGAUGGGGAGACACAUAAGAAUGAAUGCAUGCUUUGUAACAGAAUCCUGAAAACAAAAUCUGAGAUUGGUAUAAAGAACAUAGGACCGUGUCCCAAGAUUUAAAAGAGUUCCAAGUGACAGAAAGUUUCAGGAAGAAAGACAUACAAAGAUGGAAGAGCUGACCUUCAGAAUAUCUGAAAAUGCUGAAUCCUCAAGUGUUAGAGAGCAUGUCUUCAUCCUACAAUUAAGGAACAAUUUUAAUUCCUGUAAAGUAUGGGCAACAGCCCUUAUACUGGACUGUGUGGGAGCGAGGGAGAGACAUUACUAAACCAGGAAAAUCAUUACUUUUGCUAUUCUGGUCAUUUCCUUAUUGAGUUAUAGUUUGACCACUUCCAGAACACCAUAUCACACCCACAAUUCACAGUAAAAAUAAAACAAAAUGUCCCUAAUUGUUCCUUUUGUCCAUGUCUAAGGAUAUGUUUAAUUAUCAGAAGACUUUCUUUUAUUUUAAUCCUUUAAUUUGCUAGUAGGAGUAAGAAAGUUAAUUGAGAGAUCUUCUGAUGUUUAAACAGACUGAUUUCUUGAACUUGAAUUUAUUUUUUAUGAUUUUAUGCAACAUAUGAACACAUUCCUUAAUACCAUUCUUCACAGGUAAUUUUCAUAACAA